CUUGGUCAUUUAGAGGAAGUAAAAGUCGUAACAAGGUUUCCGUAGGUGAACCUGCGGAAGGAUCAUUAAUGAAUUGUUAGGACGCUCUUUUUAGAGGUCCGACCCCUUCAUUUUCUUACACUGUGCACACACUUCUUUUUCACACAUUUUAACACAACAGUCUAAGAAUGUAAACAGUCUCUUAAUUGAGCAUAAACAAAAAUAAAACUUUCAGCAACGGAUCUCUUGGCUCUCGCAUCGAUGAAGAACGCAGCGAAUUGCGAUAAGUAAUGUGAAUUGCAGAAUUCAGUGAAUCAUCGAAUCUUUGAACGCACCUUGCACUCUUUGGUAUUCCGAAGAGUAUGUCUGUUUGAGUGUCAUGAAACUCUCAACCCCCUUAUUUUGUAAUGAGAUAAGUGUGGGCUUGGAUUAUGGCUGUCUGUCGGCGUAAUUGUCGGCUCGGCUGAAAUAUACGAGCAACCCAUUUUGAAAUAGACGGUUUGACUCGGCGUAAUAACUAUUUCGCUGAGGACGUCUUCUUUGAAAAUAAGUGGUGCUUCUAGUUCGCUAUUACAGCACCUUUUAAGCUUUAGACCUCAAAUCAGUCAGGACUACCCGCUGAACUUAAGCAUAUCAAUAAGCGGAGGAAAAGAAACUAACAAGGAUUCCCCUAGUAACGGCGAGUGAAGUGGGAAAAGCUCAACUUUGAAAUCUGGCACCUUCGGUGUCCGAAUUGUAGUCUCUAGAAGUGUUUUCCGUGCUGGCCCGUGUGUGAGUCUGUUGGAACACAGCGUCAUAGAGGGUGACAACCCCGUUCAUAACACGGACCCCAGUGCUUUGUGAUACACUCUCGACGAGUCGAGUUGUUUGGGAAU
rnacentral:sRNA from 1 species